rnacentral:lncRNA from 1 species
UCCACAAAAACCAGACCUUCCCCUCCACCAACGCCGUUGCUUUCUCAGUCUUCACUCCCUCCCCUGUUCCUCCUCUUCAUUUCUCCGUGUAAAGACCCCUGUUCUUCUUCCUCACUUUAGAGCAGAAACACUCUCUUCUCAGCCAUGUAAUUACCCAAAUCCUAGCUCCAAAACUCCCGAAAUCACAACUGAAAAAUCCGUCACAAACUUUAGCCAUGAAACAAUCUUGAAAUAGUCCCAAAAAUCAUGUGAAGAUUGGCUCCUUCCUUACCAAUCUGUUUUUCUUUCUGUGUUUGAGAUUCCGGGUAAAGCCAGAGGUCAAAGUUUGAGGUUGCGUUCGAGUCUUCGUUUAUAUAGCUGUCCGAGCUUAGUUGUUGCUUAAUUUUUGAGAUUCUUGAGCUGUGUUGGUAUAAGAAUGUGCUGUUUGUUGCUGUCCCUGUGCGCCGAGUUUCCUUCUUCUACUCCUUACCUUUAUUUGGCUUUUGUCAUCCUGCUUGCCCCCUUGCAUUUAAGGUACACACAGAAUCCCAUUUUGUUGUGCUGAUUUGUGAGAUUAAUGUGUAACUCAAUUUUGCCUUUGUUUAUAAUCCUAUACUUGCUUGAGGAUAAAUUCCUACUUCUGUUAAGAUUUAGUUGUUUCAUGCAAUGGGGUAUAUAUUCUGAAUUUGUUCAUUGGGUUGCUGUGGUUUUAUUUAUUUAUUUAUUUAUUUUAUCUGUUUGGUUGGAGGCAAUUUUAAAGAAGUUACUUUCAAUAAUUUGUACUGCAAUGCGAAAUUGGUUUUGUUGAACUAUGUUUGAUUAUAAACAUUUUGAGCUAAUUAAAAGAAUAGAGCAAUGCCAACUUUAUAAUUAUUUGUUAUUCUUGUAAAGUUGAAAGUGCUGCCACGAGGUUGUGAUUUAUAUGCCCUUCAAACGGUUUCUGAAAUUGGAUAAUUAGUGUUGGACUUUCUAGUCCAAAAUUGUGUUGAAACAGCAACCUCAUUGAUUGGUGUUGGAAAUUAAAGCACUGACACUUUCUUUUAUAAUUUUUUUCUUGCUCACCUAGUUUUAGGUAAAUUGCACAUAAAUGUCAGGAUGCAAAUGAGAGUUCGUCGUUGGAAUUUGAAGAUGACCAGCGGCAUAUCCGGUGAUCUAAGCAGAUUGAAAUUAAUAUACGUAGCUAAAUUAUAUCCGCGAAUAUUUGUUGUACUUUGAAGAACUGUUAACACAAUUUUUAUGCAUAUCUGAAUUUAGUUGUGUGACCCUAUUUGACUUUGUUUUUGCCAUCAUUUUUUGAGUUUAAGCUACAAAUGGAUUGUAAAAAAAGUUUUUUUGGUCAUAAUUGAGACGUAUCAUGCCAAAUAAAAUCCUUAAGCCUAUGGCCCUCACAAAAUUAGUUAGCCUUUAAUAAAAAUUUAAGGUGUGUCAUAUUAAAUAACACCAAUAGUUUAUGGCCCUCAAAAGUUUAGUUCGAACAUCCUUUAAAAUUAGAAUUUUGAGAUGUGCACGUUAGUUGAAUUUUCAUGGCCCUCGCAAAAUUGAAAGUGCAUAGUUGCUUUAGGAGCGCUAUUUUAAAAAAAAAUUACUUUGCUAAACUCGGCUGUGUAUUUCAUGUGACCCAAAUCCAAAUCUCAACAGCGUUAAAUAAAACGUGUUUAUGGGUGCAUUUCGUGUGGCGUGGUUCAAAGACGCAUUUUAGAUAACGUUGAAUCUUCUUAAAAUUAAUUAAAAACGGCAAAUAAGUUUAAAAUAUACCAUAUGCUAAAACAUAUAUUAAAAUC